GACGAACGCUGGCGGCGUGCUUAACACAUGCAAGUCGAACGGAAAGGCCCUGCUUUUGUGGGGUGCUCGAGUGGCGAACGGGUGAGUAACACGUGAGUAACCUGCCCUUGACUUUGGGAUAACGUCAGGAAACUGGGGCUAAUACCGGAUAGGAGCUCCUGCUGCAUGGUGGGGGUUGGAAAGUUUCGGCGGUUGGGGAUGGACUCGCGGCUUAUCAGCUUGUUGGUGGGGUAGUGGCUUACCAAGGCUUUGACGGGUAGCCGGCCUGAGAGGGUGACCGGCCACAUUGGGACUGCGAUACGGCGCAGACUCCUACGGGAGGCAGCAGUGGGGAAUAUUGCACAAUGGGCGGAAGCCUGAUGCAGCAACGCCGCGUGCGGGAUGACGGCCUUCGGGUUGUAAACCGCUUUCGCCUGUGACGAAGCGUGAGUGACGGUAAUGGGUAAAGAAGCACCGGCUAACUACGUG
rnacentral:rRNA from 1 species